UUUUUCUUACCGUUAAGUACAAGUAGCACAACUUAUAAUGAACCUUGUGUUUUAUUUGCAAGCAUUUCUGUUCGGCAAAAUAAUUGUAUCCGCACCAAACCAAAUAAAAACUAAAAAAAACUCGAAAAUAUAGCUCGAAACUUUUUCAGAUUGUUUUGAUCGUUUGAAUACUAUAAUGUCAUUAUACGUGAUUCUUGAAUAAAAAGUAUUUCUUAACAAUUGUAUUCAACCGAUUUACAUUAAAUAAAAAAAACCGAAUUCGUUUAUGCCGUAAACUUUUCCGCUUUUCUCGGCCCUCCA